rnacentral:rRNA from 1 species
GACGAACGCUGGCGGCGUGCCUAAUACAUGCAAGUCGAGCGAAUCAAUGGGAGCUUGCUCCCUGAGAUUAGCGGCGGACGGGUGAGUAACACGUGGGUAACCUGCCUGCAAGACUGGGAUAACUUCGGGAAACCGGAGCUAAUACCGGAUAGUUUCUUUUCUCGCAUGAGAGAAGAUGGAAAGAUGGUUUCGGCUAUCACUUACAGAUGGACCCGCGGCGCAUUAGCUAGUUGGUGAGGUAACGGCUCACCAAGGCGAAGAUGCGUAGCCGACCGGAGAGGGUGAUCGGCCACACUGGGACUGAGACACGGCCCAGACUCCUACGGGAGGCAGCAGUAGGGAAUCUUCCGCAAUGGACGAAAGUCUGACGGAGCAACGCCGCGUGAGCGAAGAAGGCCUUCGGGUCGUAAAGCUCUGUUGUUAGGGAAGAACAAGUACGAGAGUAACUGCUCGUACCUUGACGGUACCUAACCAGAAAGCCACGGCUAACUACGUGCCAGCCGCCGCAGUAAUAC